rnacentral:rRNA from 1 species
GACGAACGCUGGCGGCGUGCUUAACACAUGCAAGUCGAGCGAAGCGAUUUUAAGGAAGUUUUCGGAUGGAAUUAAAAAUGACUUAGCGGCGGACGGGUGAGUAACGCGUGGGUAACCUGCCUCAUACAGGGGGAUAACAGUUAGAAAUGACUGCUAAUACCGCAUAAGCGCACAGUGCCACAUGGCACAGUGUGAAAAACUCCGGUGGUAUGAGAUGGACCCGCGUCUGAUUAGGUAGUUGGUGAGGUAAUGGCUCACCAAGCCGACGAUCAGUAGCCGACCUGAGAGGGUGACCGGCCACAUUGGGACUGAGACACGGCCCAAACUCCUACGGGAGGCAGCAGUGGGGAAUAUUGGACAAUGGGGGAAACCCUGAUCCAGCGACGCCGCGUGAGUGAAGAAGUGUUUCGGCAUGUAAAGCUCUAUCAGCAGGGAAGAAAAUGACGGUACCUGACUAAGAAGCCCCGGCUAACUACGUGCCAGCCGCCGCGGUAA